CUCCCCGCGUACCAAUCUCGGCUGCAAACCGAGUAGAUCAAGGCGACGGAGCCGACUGUUCCCGAGAUGGUCAGCAGCAACCGGUAUCCCAGCUCGUCGCCCCUCAUCUUGCCGCCGGCUCUGCACCGAGUGACUCAUAUUUUAAAUUGCCCGAUAUAUAUACCAUGUAGCUGCAACUUACUUAAAUAAACGAGUUCGGUAUUCCGACUGCGCAUGCCCAGGUCAUAGGUCACUCGCCAUAAACAUUGUUGGUGGCUGAGCAGCUGAACCUUCGUUUCAUCCGUAUUUUCCAGCUUUGAUUUGUCCAGGUAAAUGCUUCAUUCCAUGACUGGUGGGCCUCCAAGGUUUGGGAUGAGCCCGUUCUCGUUCAGCUUGCUCCUUUACUCUGCAGUCUUUGUGCUCUGGUGACAAGAUGCAGACAAAACAGUGAAGAAUUGUUAGGUUCAAACUCACAUUUUAACAACAGCAGCUUGCACUGCUCUGUAACUGAGUGGAAUGAAUACCUGAACUCUCAGUGUUGUGCUCUGAAUUUGCACGACAGGCACGACAUUUUGGAAUGGAAUUAAGUUUUGAAUUCAGUUUUAACAGUGUUUAUUUGAAAAGUCACUACUUCAAUCCAGUCUUUUUCAACAAGCUGAUAUACGUACAAGUCGUUGGGGGAAAUAAUGACUUUAUCUGAAAAUUAUCAAAGGUUUAAAUGAAACCAUUUCUCACCAUUUAUUUUUUAAGCUAUUGGGGGGAUUUUCAACCCCAAUCACACAUCUCUUGCUUGGAAAACAAGGGGUUGGAAAUUUAAAAUAUGAGUGAGGCAGGGUGAGGCACGGAGGGCUGGGGAGAAGGGCAUUGCAAACAUGUGGUCAGAAGGGCAAUUAGGGAUGGCCAAUAACUAACUACUGGUCCCGCUACCAAUGCUCGUAUGCCAAAAAAAAUGAAAUUAAAAAGCAAGGUUGUUGACCGUCAUUUUUACUGCUGUUGCAUUUUGUGGGAUCUUCCUGAGUAUGCUCUGUCCCGAAUCCACAAUACCCUGACAUUUACAUUUCUCAUAUUGCUAUUUACUGUUAUCUCUCAAAUUCAAGCUUUUACUUCUUGUUAAAAUAAUUCCCUUACUAUUUCCUACUCCAGCUAAUAAAACACAUUUUAUUAACUGCAGUAGGAAACAGCAAGGAAAAUGUUUUUAUGACUUCUUGGCAGUAGACUCUAAAAGGAUCCUAAUCUUACGAGUAAAUCUGAGGUAAAUGGAGGAAGGAGCAACUAACAGUCAUGACAGGUAAACUGGGAGCCAAAUUAAUGAGAUUAAAAGCUUAGAUCAGUUACUUUAAAAAUAUAUCAGGUCAUGGUGGUUUGUGACUUCAUAUGAUUUACCAAGAGACUUGAGUGGUUUUGUAAAAGGAUUUUCCUUUGGUAUAGAUUUACUUCUGUAUAGAUUUAAUUAUAAGUAGACUGCAUCCUAUUUGUGAUUAUAAUAAAUAAAACAGUGGGAUCUUUACGUUAUAUAAAGCUCCAUUUAUUCACACCAACUAAUUCUAGUUUGUAAUUCUA